rnacentral:misc_RNA from 1 species
CGUGUGAUCGUGGCGUGAGGGCCCCGCACAUGCCCUUUGCCUCGGGCCCCGCGGGGGCUAAGAACGGGCCUGAUCACGAGAUGUCGUUAGAACUCAGACAGAAAGUUGUUUUUAGUCAGACAGCGAUCCGUAAACAACGAUUUUUGGUGACAAAUAAACAUUAUCACCUAUAGCUGCAUGUACAUCAUGUGUAACAUGCUGUGUAACACAGUAACAGAGACAAGCUUCUCCACUCAGGUUUUUCCCGUCGGCCUCCCAGCUACAGACCUCACCGAGCGUGACUGUCACGUGAUAAACAGCAGAGGACAGACCUGUCACGGAUCAGUGGAAUGUUUUGUUACAACACCACUCACUCAACCAAUUGCAUCCAUACAAGCAAGAAAAGUAAUACAAGUAAUAAUGAAAUGUAAAAAUGUAAAACAACUGGAGCAAAAUAAUGACGACAAACAAGCUACUUCUUGAUCGUCUCGCUUCACUGCACUGACCGACUUUUGUAAACGUCUCGUGUACAUUCAUGUCCUCAAAACACACACGUGGACACGCUUUAAUUACUAACCUUGAUAAAACUGCUAUCAGGCGAGUUCUCCCGCACGGUCACCUGUGUAUAUAUAGAUAAUUAUUUAUAUAUAUUGAUUCUUUUCUUUGUAGUCUCGGCAACACCUUUCUCACGCCACCCGGAUGUUGCUGUGUCAUACUGUGUGUGUGAGGAGAGAGGUGUGUGUUGACAGGCUUUGUGUUCCGUGUCUUUAUCGCCAGGUAAAUGUUUCUAUCGUAUGUUGUGUACGUCACUACUGACUUCGCUCAGCAUCACAGGUGAGAUUCGAGCUUCACAACACGUGAUUGCGCUGAGAAGUGGGAACCCUGGUAACCACCCGUGUGUAGCGAGCCGUGGAGCUUGGGGACCCUUUCUGUGUAGCUCGCUACAGACCCGGUGACAGCAAUGCCAACAUGAUCCGUGUCUUCCUUCGCCAUGUCAGAACGGGGGACGGUGUGUAAAUAUCGGAUUAUACUACUUCUGCGACUGCAACCCCAGCUUCCGGGGUUACAGGUGUCAGUUUGGAGGUGACUUCUGUGCCUCAUCUCCCUGUCACAACGGAGGAAUCUGCCACUCAUUGUCAUCAAACUACUUUUGCUCCUGCCGAUCUGGCCAUGAGGGCAUUAACUGUGACAUCCCUCUCCUCUGUGCCUCAUCUCCAUGUCAAAACGGAGGAACCUGCCAGUCGUUGUCUUCAAGCUACUGGUGUUCCUGUCGAACGGGCUACAACGGGGAUCGCUGUGAAAUCCCCGACAAAAGUCAGAAUUGGCAAGAGGACUUCAUGACAACAACACCAACGCCAACUUCGAUAACUGACCCGAACACGUCAAAAGGUGCAUCACCUGUGUGGAUAUUUCCUGUCAUCGCACUGAUCGUUUCAAUCAUCAUAAUAAUAACAGUUGUCUGCUCCUUGACGAUUGCCAAGAAACGGAAAAAAAGACAAGUAGACCAACAGCUUCGUCUUGGACCUCCUGACACAAUCGUUCGCUCAAUCAGCAGCAACCUCCAUUCGGACACCCGAGUCGGCAACCUCACCUCUGUGUCUGACCACCCCAUGUCCCCACAGCCGUACAGUGUACGCUACGCCACGAGACACUUUCAGACAGGCACUUUUGUCAUUGAAGUUCUGUCGGAGUCCAGUCAUCUCUCUCCUCAGCAGCCACAUCUCCAUGACAACGAGGAGAGCAGACUAGAUGGAGGGCCGGUCAAUCACCACGUCAGAGACCUACCUCCCUCCUACCUGUCUGUGGUGACAGAUCCCAGGUACAUCCGUGAGAAUGGCGACUCUGUGCAACAGUUGCCAUCGUACGAUGACGUAGUGGCUGUGAUACGACAAACAAAAGCACCGAGUGAUAGCCCCGUUACGUCAACAAGGUGACGUCAUGACCUCACACAACAGACACGUCAUCAGAGACCAACGUGACCUCAGCCUACAGACGAAACAUGACGACCUUGCUAGAGGAGGGCAGUAGAUGAGAUGAGAGAUGAGAGUAACACCACGCUGUGAGCACAAAGAUGGAUGACGAGACAUCAACCCAGUUCAGUGAAAACGACCAACAGAUGAAUAAACAGUCCAUGUACUUUAUAUUUCUUACGUUUAUUUAUUUUACUAAUUUGUUUUUAAAAUACAUCAGCAUGCGUGACCAUAUUAAAGAUGAAUAUUCCACCAAUGUUGUAUUGCCUCUGUCGUCUGUCACACUAGCGUCUUUGCUUGUUGUUAUGUUUAUUUAUUUGUUGAAAAUCGCUUUCAGUCUGCAUGUGAUGGUGAGUAAAGCGCUGUGUACAUCUAA